rnacentral:rRNA from 1 species
UACGAAGGGGGCUAGCGUUGCUCGGAAUCACUGGGCGUAAAGGGUGCGUAGGCGGGUCUUUAAGUCAGGGGGGAAAUCCUGGAGCUCAACUCCAGAACUGCCUUUGAUACUGAAGAUCUUGAGUUCGGGAGAGGUGAGUGGAACUGCGAGUGUAGAGGUGAAAUUCGUAGAUAUUCGCAAGAACACCAGUGGCGAAGGCGGCUCACUGGCCCGAUACUGACGCUGAGGCGCGAAAGCUAGGGGAGCAAACGGG